GGGGGUGAACAGGGUUCGACGGGAAUGAUAGAGGUAACGACAGCAAGCCGGAGUUGGUCGAUGGCUCCGAAAAAAUCGACCGAAAAUAAGCAACGAACAUAUUGUUCCAAUGCAGCAGACUGUUGCCAACCCUUGUGUUUUCACGGGUUUGCACGGAAUGCCAAUGAUAGCUGCUUAAAUGCAGCUCCGUUUUACCUUAGACACCUGCUAUAAGGAUAAAACGACAAGAGCAGGUUAGUUUUAAGCGGCUUAUACCGUCAGCUUAAAACGAACAUAAAACGGUACUGGUUUAUAGCGUAAUCCCGUUCGGAGACAGCGCUAUAAACGAGAUAAAUCUUCCGAACUAAGCUUGUAGCGGUCCUACCAAAACAUUUUCGGACGCGGGUUCAAUUCCCGCCACCUCCACAU
rnacentral:tmRNA from 1 species